AGCGAACGCUGGCGGCAGGCUCAACACAUGCAAGUCGAGCGGGCAUAGCAAUAUGUCAGCGGCAGACGGGUGAGUAACGCGUGGGAACGUACCUUUUGGUUCGGAACAACACAGGGAAACUUGUGCUAAUACCGGAUAAGCCCUUACGGGGAAAGAUUUAUCGCCGAAAGAUCGGCCCGCGUCUGAUUAGCUAGUUGGUGAGGUAAUGGCUCACCAAGGCGACGAUCAGUAGCUGGUCUGAGAGGAUGAUCAGCCACAUUGGGACUGAGACACGGCCCAAACUCCUACGGGAGGCGGCAGUGGGGAAUAUUGGACAAUGGGCGCAAGCCUGAUCCAGCCAUGCCGCGUGAGUGAUGAAGGCCCUAGGGUUGUAAAGCUCUUUUGUGCGGGAAGAUAAUGACGGUACCGCAAGAAUAAGCCCCGGCUAACUUCGUGCCAGCAGCCGCAGUAA
rnacentral:rRNA from 1 species